rnacentral:tRNA from 1 species
GCCCAAAGAAGCUUUCUAACAAGCGGUGGUCUUGUAAACCACAGAAGGCUAAGCCCCUUGGGCU